AGGACGAACGCUGGCGGCGUGCCUAAUACAUGCAAGUCGAGCGGAACUUGAAGAGCUUGCUCUUCAAGUUUAGCGGCGGACGGGUGAGUAACACGUGGGCAACCUGCCCUACAGAUGGGGAUAACUCCGGGAAACCGGGGCUAAUACCGAAUAAUCAGUUCCCUCGCAUGAGGGAACUCUGAAAGACGGUUUCGGCUGUCGCUGUAGGAUGGGCCCGCGGCGCAUUAGCUAGUUGGUGGGGUAAUGGCCUACCAAGGCGACGAUGCGUAGCCGACCUGAGAGGGUGAUCGGCCACACUGGGACUGAGACACGGCCCAGACUCCUACGGGAGGCAGCAGUAGGGAAUCUUCCACAAUGGACGAAAGUCUGAUGGAGCAACGCCGCGUGAGCGAAGAAGGUUUUCGGAUCGUAAAGCUCUGUUGUGAGGGAAGAACAAGUACGGGAGUAACUGUCCGUACCAUGACGGUACCUCAUUAGAAAGCCACGGCUAACUACGUGCCAGCAGCCGA
rnacentral:rRNA from 1 species